rnacentral:misc_RNA from 1 species
UCUCUUGUUGAGGAACUGCUUCAAUGUAUGGCUCCUCAUUUGGAAGAUAGUAUGCUAAACGAUCUCAAGGCCAAGAUUCGAGCUCAUGAUCCAUCCAGGUCAGAUGAUCUCGAGACGGGCCUUCGAAAAUCCUUAAUAUGGUUGAGAGAUGAGGUCCGAGAUCUUCCAUGCACAUACAAAUCUCGACAUGAUGCUGCUGCUGACUUGAUUCAUUUAUAUGCAUAUACAAAGUGUUUUUUUAGGAUACGAGAAUACAAGACUGUAACGUCACCUCCUGUAUAUAUAAGUCCUUUAGACCUGGGACCCAAAUAUACUGAUAAGCUGGGACCUGGUACUCACGAGUAUCGCAAGACAUAUGGUGAAAAUUAUUGCUUAGGACAGCUGUUUUAUUGGUAUAACCAAGCUAAUGCAGAUCCGGAGAAUUGUCUUUUCAAGGCGAGCAGGGGUUGCUUGUCUUUACCUGAAGCUGGCUCUUUUUAUGCUAAAGUCCAGAAGCCGUCCCGGCAACGUGUUUACGGCCCAAGGACUGUGAAGUUCAUGCUGUCUAGAAUGGAGAAGCAGCCGCAGAGAGCAUGGCCAAAGGAUCGGAUAUGGUCAUUUAAGAAUAGUCCCAAUGUAUUUGGCAGUCCUAUGCUGGAUGGUAUUUUAAACAAGUCUCCCCUAGAAAGGGAGAUGGUACAUUGGCUUAAGCAUAGACCUGCAAUCUUUCAGGCCAAGUGGGAUAGAUGAAAUUUUUCGGAGCUGCAUUAGUAGGACCACACUCGCUGUUAGGAUACUGAUUGCUUAGAGAAAAGGUUUUCGAUGUUAGAAUCGAAUCCCUCCCCUUAUUGGGAAGGGGGAGAAUAGGUGAUUGCUUCUAGUCUUUGAUUUCUUUAUGCCGCCUGGUUCGUCACUUGAUUCUUGUGUACAGUUUCUAUUCCCUUUUUCAUUCUUG